GAACAUCAUUGUUGACUGUUGGAUGAUGAAAACGAAGUCCGUCUCUGACAAGUGACAGUAAUAUACACUAAACUUGCUUGCAUCUUCCCUGAUACGGCAGUUUCAAGGCAAAGGAGAGGGAGAAGCGCAGAAGGCGCUGCGGAUGGAAGGCUGAUUUCCUAAGCUGUCAUUUAAAAGGUUGGCAAGACUUCAGUGAGCUGAAAGCUCUUGAUCAAAAGAUAAAAUGCAUUUCACCUCAGAGACUUGCAACAUGCAUUCCUUUCAUUCAGCUUAGCUGAAUUCAAGAUCGCCACGAGCCCAGUGGCCUACAGAAUAUGAAUCUGUCCCGCAGUCCCGGAAGGUCUAUCUUCCCAAGGCUAAGGCCAAGGCUCACCAAAGAGCCAGCCGUAAGAACUAACAGGGGAAAGAGGAAAAUUUCCCCUCCACCAGG